UUAUUUAGUAACUCCCUUUAACCGUAGGUUUAGUAGCAAGUUUUAGCAACAAAAGCUGAAUCAACCAGUCAAUCGACUUCACCAUUUGCUAUCCGAUCUUCAAUAAGUGUAAAUUGCUUCAACAUAAUUUGAUUGUUUACAUCAAACACCAUUUUAAUGAUGACUAUCUUUUCUGAACAUUUUUGGAGUUUCUUCUCCAUUCUUUAUUUCUUCAUUCGUUUCCAAAUCUACUAUUAAACUUGAUUUGUGUCAAUUGUGAUUAAUAACAAUUUUAAAAUGAUCUGAUUUGCCUUCAUUGUAAAAUAAGCCACCAAAAUUAUUGUCGGUCCAAGAUGAUCCAUUUUGGUAUGAUUAUUGGUUUCUUUCAACGAAAUAUCAUGCUUCUGGCUCUUGAUUUCAUAUUAACCUUUAUCACCAUUGCUUUAUUUAAAUUUCUGAUCACCAUUGAGCCAUCGGAUUACCGUAUUACUCAUAGCUAUUAAUAGUUGCUCAUCUACUCUUAAGACUUGUUGACCGUUCAAGCAAGAGUCAUCAAGACUGAUUAAGGAAUCCAAUCUGAUUCAAAUUAAAAAAAGACCAGAUAGGAUUAAAGAAAGAAAAUCAACAAAAACUUGAAUCGUAAAGCUUGGAUUGAUGAUACCAAAUUCAAAAUCGUUCAUUUUAAAUUGUAAUUAUCUAAUGUUUGAAUUGACCAAAUAAAAUAUGUCCAAUUUUAAUGGAAA